UCAUCAAGCCCACCGAUGAGGACUUCCAACUUGAUCAACUGACCUCCUCUGGUACCUGGCUUGAGUGGAGCACAUAAUUACUUUUGUCGCUUGAUGUAACCUUGACCCUAGUCUCGAGAAUAAAUAUCUAUGCUAUAUAGCUUUACUGUCGUCGUCUUCUUUGAGCAAAUAUUUCACAUGACACAUUACUUUCGUUGCUAGUCAUAUCGAAUGGGCACCAAUUUUGAUCUUCUCUCCCACCAGGCCACCACCAUUGCCGCCUAGUCGCCUACCCAUCAAUUUUUGGGAUAGUGACUAUAACUUGCUUGAAGCUUGAACCUACUUGUCACAAGGUCAUUCUUAAAGGCCUGCACUAGUUGUCUGAAGGCCAUCCAUUUCGUCCGGCAUAUAUAGAGAUAUGAUUCAUUGGUUUAGUCAUGUUAUUGAAGAUAAAAAUUCGAUUUUUUCUAGCUUCCUAGUGUUUAGAAUGAUUCUAUUUGAUCUCCAAGCAAUAAAAGAUCAUGUAUUUACACUUGAAGCAAGGUUUCAUUCUCUAACUGGUGCCCUUAAAGAACUUUACCUCUUUGUCAGUGAUGCAAAGUUUUUGGAUAUGUGAUGACCAACAAACAAACACAGUGAAGGUAGUGGAAAUGAGUAAACAAAAUGGGGAGGUAAUUAUAUUUUACCUAAUUUUAUUAGCUGCUCUAAACAUGCAAUAUAUUCUUUCUAUAUGAAUAUAUAAAAUGUAUAAUUAUCAUUUAUGAUACACUGAAUAUCUCCAGCAAAUUCCCAUGUCUAUGAUGCAUUAGUUGAAGGCUCAUGACAGAAUCAUGGCCUUUGAUCUUCCUCACAAUGUCACGUACUGGAAACUUCUAUGAUGAACUUUUAAAAGAACCAACCAAAACUUUAACUUUUGUAAGUUUAGUAUGUUGAUGUUAGUUUCCUGCUACGAUCCUUUACUUGCAUUUAUGUGUUGUUUAUCUAUUUAGUUUUGGGAUCAUGAAUCCUUAUUUGGCAUCCUUGCUUACUUAUUACAUCAAUUAUAUUGUUAUUACUAUUAUUAGGUAAUUCAGCUUUAUACUUACCUUCCCUUCCUGUCCUAUCUCAAACUGAUACAAAGAAGAUUUCCACGGUAUCCAUAUUUUUUUGAGACUAUGCUUGCAAAUUGAAUGUGAGCACCGACUAUAAUUAUUAUGACCAGGUACAUCUAACUUUUAAAUUGUAUAAAACUUUUGACAUAUUUGAUUUGUAUUUCCGAAAUUGCAGUUGGUGAAAGUGCCACACUCUUCAGGCCUAAACUGAUAGUUACUGGUGCAAGUGCUUAUGCUCAUUUAUAUGACUGACUAUGCACGUAUUCGCAAGGUUUGUGACAAACAAAAAGCUAUUUUGUUAGUAGAUACGACACACAUUAGCGGUUGGUUUCAUCCAUCCCCAUUUGACUAUGAAGAUGUUGUGACCACAACCAACAACAAGUCACUUCGAGGCCCACGAGAGGUUUUCCAUGAUUAUGAAGACAAGAUCAACCAGGAUGUUUUCCUGGACUUCAGGCGGCCCAGAUUGUAGUUACAUUGAAACAGGUAGCAACGUUUUCAAGAAUUUACAUACAUAAAAGUUAUUUACAUUUUUAAUAUGAGUUCAAAAUAAUUCUUCCAAAGUAUAAUAAAUCUUUGUUUGCCCUUAUAUAUUUCUCUUAUAUGUGUUAAAUAUGGUUUUUAAUAUCGCGUUUUUAAGUAUAUGAAUGUAUAGCCACAACAACACAAUGUAAGGCAUAUCAAGAGGAAGUUUGCAGAGGUAUGAUAUGACUAAGCCGCAUCUAAUUUCCUGGAAAGUCUAUGAACCUUUUGUGGUUUUUCUUCAAGUUUAAGCAUCAUCAUAAGUCAUUUACACAUAUAUACAUUUUUCAGACUCUUGUUAAGGCUAUGGGGUAUGGGAUACGUCAGCACCACCUAGGAUUCACGUCAGCCAGGGGGCUUUAUAACGCCCUCCUUUAACUUGCAGGGUGUGGGAUAAAGCCCCGUCAUCAUUACCUAAUUAUUAUUUUUAUUUAAAUUUAAAAAUUAUUUAAUUUUGAAAUAUUAAUUUAAAUAUUUCAAAAUAAAAAAUAAAAAACAAAGUCAUAAUUUAAAUAAAAAACAUACAAUGUCAUAAUUAAAUAAAAAAAAUACAAAGUCACUCGUCAUCUUCGCCGUCUCCUCCUUGUUAAUGAUAAAUCGGAUGCCAUUUUUUAGUUGUGAUUGGUGUGUGUUUUAGUUGUGAUUGGUGUGUGUUUUAGUUUGGGAUAGGUUUGUAUUUAUAUUUGAAUAAAAAAACUUUUUUUUAAAGUGAACGUUGGCAACGGAUAUGUUAACCAACUACCUCGAUCGUCCCAAUUUCAAAACGUUACCAUGGUGGCGAGCUACCUAUAGCGCCCCUCCUUAAACCUCAUGGUGUGGGGUGGCGCCACCACCCAGACACCAUUGAUGCUGAAUAGGCAAAGAGUGGGGCCCCACACGACCACACCCUCCUGCCUAAGAGUGGAUAUGGGAUUGGGGACACAGAAAACCACUUAGUUUUGGUCAAAUUGAAAUAUAAGGUAAACCAUAUUCGGAAUUUCAUUUGGCCAAUAAUUCUCAAAAAUAUAAAAUUACAAGCCAUUUACAUAUAUGUUUUUAACCAGGGAAAUGAUGGUUCAAGCCUCAAGGGUUGAAAAGAUGUUGGAAGCCCUUCACAUUGCAUCAAGGGUGAAGCCCAAGGGACAACGUUGAAGGACUUCAUGGCUGCAGUGCAGUCUAGUGCCUUUCAAUCGGAACUUAAUUUCAGCGCUACGCCACAAUUUGAGAUACACAAACUAAGGAAUCAUACAAGCUAUGUGUCAUGAAGGUGGAGUUGAUUACAAGGCUUGUGUAUGAAGUCAAUAUGUAUAUGUAAAUCCAUAGAUGAUUUGUUAUUACAGUCACUAAUUUGUAGGUUGAUUGAACACAUCAGCACAUGGUUAGUUGGUUACGAAACAUAGAAUAUUGAUUAGAAUGUAGUUGAAAAAAUGAUUAAAGUAUAAAGUUUUAGAAUAUUUACGUAAAAUUUCUCGAAUUGUUCAGUUGUUUUGUAAAAUAUACUA